UAAGGAAUAUUGGGCAAUGCCCGCAAGGGUGACCCAGCAACGCCGCGUGGAGGAUGAAUGUCGUAAGAUUGUAAACUCCUGUUAGAGGGGAAGAAUAGUACCGGUUGGACCGGUAUAUGACUGUACCCUCAGAGAAAGCCCCGGCUAACUACGUGCCAGCAGCCGCGGUAAUACGUAGGGGGCAAGCGUUGUCCGGAUUUACUGGGUGUAAAGGGCGCGCAGGCGGGAUAAAAAGUCAGUGGUGAAAUCCUACAGCUUAACUGUAGAACUGCCUUUGAUACUUUUAUUCUUGAGUUCGGGAGAGAGAGACGGAAUUCCAGGUGUAGUGGUGAAAUACGUAGAUAUCUGGAAGAACACCAGUUGCGAAGGCGGUCUCUUGGUCCGACACUGACGCUGAGGCGCGAAAGCGUGGGGAGCAAACA
rnacentral:rRNA from 1 species